rnacentral:tRNA from 1 species
GCCUGGGUGGCUCAGUCGGGUAAGCGUCUGAUUUCUGCUCAGGUCGUGAUCUCAGUUUGUGGGUUUGAGCCCCACAUCAGGCU